GAUCAAACACUCGAACAUCAUAAUUUGUAAAGGUCCAGUGUGUUACAUGACCCCCAUGGUAUGCCAGAUCCGUCACAAAUAUAGGGAGUUCACUGUUUACACGGAUAGAGUCUUCCCUGCAUUUGCACGGCAUUGGGACAAGUACAAGAUAUACAAUUCAAGAUACAAUUACUACAUAUGAAUAUCCACACAUCCAUACACCAUUUACAUUCACAUUCAAUUCAUCACAAUUAUCCAUAAAUCUACAACUACCAGUUUAAAAUGUUUCCUACUCGGAAACUCGUUUUAAAAUACUAAGUCAUGAAAAGCAAGAAAACCUUUUAAAACCGUUUCCUACAGGGAAAUCUUUUUCUUUUAAAACACGUUACCACGAGGGGUAAAAAAUCACUUUAAUUUUUUAAGAAUCAUAAAUCC
rnacentral:lncRNA from 1 species